rnacentral:rRNA from 3 species
UAGGGAAUCUUCCGCAAUGGACGAAAGUCUGACGGAGCAACGCCGCGUGAGUGAUGAAGGUUUUCGGAUCGUAAAACUCUGUUGUUAGGGAAGAACAAGUAUCGUUCGAAUAGGGCGGUACCUUGACGGUACCUAACCAGAAAGCCACGGCUAACUACGUGCCAGCAGCCGCGGUAAUACGUAGGUGGCAAGCGUUGUCCGGAAUUAUUGGGCGUAAAGCGCGCGCAGGCGGUUUCUUAAGUCUGAUGUGAAAUCUUGCGGCUCAACCGCAAGCGGCCAUUGGAAACUGGGAGACUUGAGUGCAGAAGAGGAGAGUGGAAUUCCACGUGUAGCGGUGAAAUGCGUAGAGAUGUGGAGGAACACCAGUGGCGAAGGCGACUCUCUGGUCUGUAACUGACGCUGAGGCGCGAAAGCGUGGGGAGCGAACAGG